rnacentral:tRNA from 4 species
UGGGGCGUAGCCAAGUGGUAAGGCAGCGGUUUUUGGUACCGCCAUUCCCUGGUUCGAAUCCAGGCGCCCCAG